GGGGGGGGAGGGCAGAAAACACAGAGUGCACACCUGCCACACUCUGGCCCAGCUACACCUCUGCCCUUAAGCAAGUCCUCUGAAAGUCAGGCAGAAGUGCAAUUCCCACACUUCUGCUUGAAUAUGAAAUGUGAAACCUUACCCGGUAAUUUAUCCCCACUCACAUGUGGAUUAAUUACAGCUCCUCUUUUUCUCAGUUUUGCCAGCUUGUGUGGUUGCUUAAGUUGCUCUUUUUGUGAUUAGGUGUUUUAAAGGCGGUAGGUAGAGGGAAAGUGGAAGGAUAUUACCUCCAUUGCUAGUUCAAAUAAUGGCUUUGCAGCAGCGGUAAAAAUGAUUUGUGCAAAUUCUCACACUCCUCCCCCCCGCACCAUCAUCGUGUUCAUGUUAAUGGCUUGCAAACAGGGCUGAAGGUAACAGCUUUUUAAAAGGAGUUUAAUAUCAAGGAUAUCUUAAGUGCCUAAGUACUGCAGCGAAUUUAGCGAAAGUGAGACUUGCAACCAAAGAUUCCAAAUCAAUGAAACGAUCUGGGAGUAUGUGAAAUGGGAGCUUCACAAAAGAUUGGCAGAUGUAAACCCUUAUCAGUAUUUGAAUGGAAGUCCGUUACCUUAAAAGAACAAAAGGUACAAAGAGAUGCGGGAUUUCAAAUAUGGUCCUGACUCUGAAUUCCAUUGCCUGAUUUCAACUCCUCUUACCCCAAGAUUCUGCAAGGAAUAUUUAGCAGUCUGUCUCAUUCUACCAUCUUAGUCUGGAUGCUGGAAUGCCUCUAGGCCCUGGUUUCUCCUGAUCUUCCAUUUCUCCUACUAUGCUGAAAUCGUUACGGACGACACAAUGAAGAGACGAGAUGCAGCGAUAUCAGGA